rnacentral:snoRNA from 1 species
CCUGUAUGAUGACCAACUAAGGACUGACUGCAAAUAAUGGAGUCAAUUAGCUCUAACUGAUC